rnacentral:ncRNA from 1 species
GAUCAAGAGGAUGGGUGGGAUCGUUCUGAGAUUAUACUGUCAAAACUUGAUCUAGAUAAUACUAGCGAAAGGACAUGCGUGACUUUAGAU